CCUAGCAGCCAUAUCACCCUGCAUCUCACAACUGGCAACCCACUGAAGCUCAGCAGGUGUGAGCCUGGUCAGUACCUGGAUGGGAGACCUCCUGGGAAAAACUAAGGUUGCUGCUGGAA
ensembl:rRNA 5S_rRNA 5S ribosomal RNA